GGGGCAGUGUCAGCGCUCCUGGGAACCGCCCGGCCAGCCAGGCCCCCCGCUGGCCCAGGCCAAGGGGCUUAGAGGGAGGCCAGCGGUGAGUCAUCCGCUCCUCGCCCAGCCCAGGGUUCCUGGGCCGGGGGGACCAGCACUCUCGGUUCCCCAGCCUCCGCCCCGGGGUCCUGGCCGGCUCUUCCUUCCCUCUUCAGCCUCUCCCUUCCCUCUCUGGCUCCCUCCAUCUGAACAUGUUGGCUGUCUCUCUGCCUCGGUCCCGGGCAGAGACCCAGCCCGGCAGUGGCUGUCGCCUGCCCCAUCAUGAGCUGCUCCCCUCUCCCAGCCUGUGAGGGACCCCGGGAAGAAGCCAGUGAGAGGGCCCAACCUAAACAUUGGCUGAGGAAUACAAGGUGGACCCCCAGAAGGAAGCGAGGCAACAAAAUAAAGCACUCUUCAAGAGAGUUAACCGACAACAUCAAAGAGUGGGAAAAAAAAGUAUGAAAAAUAUUAGCAUUAGGGAUAACAGGAUAAAAAUAAAUGGGUUAAAGCUGUGCUGAAGAGAGAAGGAGGUGGGAUGGGCCCUGUGGUGUGGACUUGGCCUUAAUGGUUCCGGCCUGUGGCAGGGUGGGCAGGAAGCCAAAACCUUGCUGGACGGAUGGUGAGCCAGGUUCCUGGGUGGGUGACUGGUCCAGAGACCACCCCCCCACCCAGAGGAGCUCGAAGAGGACCCGAGGUGAGGGCCGCACCUCACGCCCCGGACCCUGACUCCCUGACCUGUGGCGAUGCUGCGAGGUACCCAGGAGCCGUGUGGGUCCUGUGGCCCGGGGGAGCCUACCGAGGCACGAGAUAGCCUAAAGAGAUCAGAGAAGCAACGGACGCUACUGGCAUCAAGGCCAGCGUCCCCCUUGGUCUAGCAUGGGAUGCCCCGGCAGGUGGUUCCCAGCGUGGAGGGCUCGUGCACUGCCCUGGCCUGGCACUGGCCGACAGGAACUGUCCCCGCGACGAGCCUGUUUCAUGGCUGAUCUGAAGCCUCCGGCCUUGGUUCCUGCAAGGAGCUGUGGGGCCCAUCUCUCUCCUUGGCCCCCACCAAGCAUGCACUUCCUGGCCGCUGUGUCCUCAUUGAGUUCCCCUGGUAUCAUCUCGCCCUGGGCUGAGUGGGGUGCCUUCCAUCCCGAGGCUCUGGGCCCAGCACUGGGCCAGGUGGCUCUGGGGGAGCCUAGGAGAGCUGCUGCUUUCGGUCCUCAGUUCAGUUCAGUUCAGUUGCUCAGUCACGUCCGACUCUUUGCGACCCCAUGGACUGCAGCACACCAGGCCUCCCUGUCCAUCACCAACUCCCAGAGUUUAUUCAAACUCAUGUCCAUUGAGUCGGUGAUGCCAUCCAACCAUCUCAUCCUCUGUCAUCCCCUUCUCCCCCUGCCUUCUUUCCCAGCAUCAGGGUCUUUUCCAAUGAGUCAGCUCUUCACAUCAGGUGGCCAAAGUAUUGGAGCUUCAGCUUCAACAUCAGUCCUUCCAAUGGAUAUUCAGGACUGAUCUCCUUUAGGAUGGACUGGUUGGAUCUCCUUGCAGUCCAAGGGGCUCUCAAGAGUCUUCUCUAACACCACAAUUCAAAAGCAUCAAUUCUUUGGCGUGCAGCCUUUUUUAUAGUCCAACUCUGACAUCCAUACAUGACCACUGGAAAAAUCAUAACCUUGACUAGAUGGACCUUUGUUGGCAAAGUAAUGUCUCUGCUUUUUUUUUUUUUUUAAAACAUGGAACGCUUGACGAAUUUGCGUGUCAUCCUUGCGCAGGGGCCAUGCUAAUCUUCUCUGUGUCGUUCCAAUUUUAGUAUAUGUGCUGCCGAAGCGAGCACAUGUCUCUGCUUUUUAACAUGCUGUUUAGGUUGGUCAUAACUUUUCUUCCAAGGAGUAAGUGUCUUUGAAUUUCAUGGCUGCAAUCACCAUCUGCAGUGAUUUUGGAGCCCCCCCAAAAUAAAGUCUGCCACUGUUUCCACUGUUUCUCCAUCUUUUUGCCAUGAAGUGAUGGGACCGGAUGCCAUGAUCUUAGUUUUCUGAAUGUUGAGCUUUAAGCCAACUUUUUCACUCUCCUCUUUCACUUUCAUCAAGAGGCUUUUUAGCUCCUCUUCACUUUCUGCCAUAAUGGUGGUGUCAUCUGCAUAUCUGAGGUUAUUGACAUUUCUCCCAGCAAUCUUGAUUCCAGCUUGUGCUUCUUCCAGCCCAGCGUUUCUCAUGAUGUACUCUGCAUAGAAGUUAAAUAAGCAGGAUGACAAUAUACGGCCUUGAGGUACUCCUUUUCCUAUUUGGAACCAGUCUGUUGUUUCAUGUCCAAUUCUAACUGUUGCUUCCUGACCUGCAUACAGAUUUCUCAAGAGGCAGGUCAGGUGGUCUGCUAUUCCCAUCUCUUCCAAAAUUCUCCACAGUUUAUUGUGAUCCACACAGUCAGAGGCUUUGGCAUAGUCAAUAAAGCAGAAAUAGAUGUUUUUCUGGAACUCUCUUGCUUUUCGAUGAUCCAGCGGAUGUUGGUAAUUUGAUCUCUGGUUCCUCUGCCUUUUCUCAAACCAGCUUGAACAUCUGGAAGUUCACAGUUCACGUAUUGCUGAAGCCUGGCUUGGAGAAUUUUGAGCGUCACUCUGCUAGCGUGUGAGAGGAGUGCAACUAUGCAGUUGUUUGAGCAUUCUUUGGCACGUUUGGUCCUCAGGGUGCUCUUAUCAGCAAGCCCGUUUGGGGGAGGAGUGAAGUGACUUGCACCAGGUUGCCGGUACAAAGAAGCAAAGCUGGAGGUGGUGCCCUGGCCUGGCUGCUCACCCUGGGGCAGGUCUGAGACCCGCUCCACGCUCAGCUGGGCAUGUGGCCCUCAUGCAUGUUCUGGACCGGACCGGCUUCCUCUAAUGGUGUGUAUCUCCUCUCGCCCCAGCCCCAGGCCCUUUGCACAAGCUCUCUCUAUCUGGGACACUUUCCAUGUGACCUUGCUUGGCUGCGGCAUAUGGAUGCUGGCUGACGUGUCGCUGUGUCUGGGUGGAAGUGUUGUCACAAGGGUGUGAGUCAGAGGUGGCCACCUCCCCAGCAGUUGGGCACCCCAGACGGAGGGCAAGGCCAGCGUGGACCCCGGGUGAAGGGUGUGGUGUGUGCUCGCAGGUGACAAUGCCCUGACUGUCUCCUCCUGCCCCGUUAGUGGUGGCAGUGGUGAGCAGGCCUCAGGGUGGGGCUUGUGCUCUGGGACAGUCUCCUGAACGGAUCCCCUGGGCUCUGGAGGGGCGCGUAAAACAGAAGCAGACCCUGACAUCAGGAGGGCAGGCUGGCAGGCGCCUGCACCCCCGCGCUGUGUGCGCCAGCCUUCGGCCCGGAGCCCAGGGCCUCCUCCAGCUGCGCUCCAGGCUGUGGGAGCUCUGUCCGUCCGUCUGUCCGGAGAGCAGGCCCCGGGCCCCUCGCCCUCCUCACACCCCUUGGAGCCAGGCUUGGCAGGAAGUGUGGGGUGGGUGAGGUGGCCUGCAAGGGUGGUGCUGGCGCAGCGGCCGCUGCUGCAGCCCACUCAGCCUCAGCUUCCUCAUCGGGAGCGGGAGACAAGCGGCGGGGAAUGAGUGGGCCCUGGGGGCUGACACCUUGGCGCUGGGGGGACGUUCCCGGAGGCUGCUCCCUGCCGUGAUCCACUGGUUUGGCCCUCUGUCACAAGAGGUUGCCUUUGAGAUCCCCCCGCCCCCGGCCUUGGCGAGUCGGGAUGUGUCCCCAACGGAGGUGCCUGUGACCUACACAUGUGUCUCCAGGAGGGUCUGGCUGGUGGUCGCCUGUGCUCUGGAGGCCUGGGGCCAGUGACUGGGACCAGGCCCUCCGCCGAGGGCAGGACCAAGCUCUGUCUGGUGCACCAAGGAGUGACCCAAGGAGCAUGCACGUAGUUUCUGGGAAGAGGGUCGGGUAGGCUGGGCUUGGGGAAGUCCGUGGGUUCCUUAUUCACUGGGGGUCGGCCUCACUCUGAUCUCAGAGCAGGUCUGUCCCCUUCUGAGUGACCCAGCAGAGGGGCUUGGAAGGUUCCAGCCCCAACCCUGGAGGGUCAGUGGCAGUGUUGGGCAGCUUGGUCUGCCUGGGGCUCAGCCCACCGGGUACUCGAGGCGGGAGGGGGAUGGUCUAGGCCCCACACCUGCUCUGCCCGUGAGGGCUGCUGGCCUUGCUUUGUGGACCAGUGAGGCUGGGAGCGGUCAAGAGCAUGGCUGAGGUCACUCAGGGGGUGUCUGGGCCUUGCUCAGUGGGCGGCAGACCCCCUGCGCUAGGCGUCCAUCCUUGCAGCUGGACAACCCCCUCCCCGACCCAGGGAUGAAGAAAUGGCGAUGUUUGGGGUGAGGCGAGUGGUUUACUUUAGUAAAUGAGCUCCAUGGUUGGACCCCACGUGGAGUCGGAGUGUCUGGCCGGUGAGUGAGGUCUCAUGCUGCAAGAGGUGCCUGGUGUCCCCUUUGUGCUGGGGACACUGCAGCGGACGGACGCACGGAAUGACUGCAGUCCACAUCCCCCGCCCUCAACCCCGAGCUAUGUCGAGGGUGAGGCAGACAGUCAACAGACGCUGCGGUCAGUGCAGCUGGUGGGGACACGGAGCCCCUCCUAGGAGCCCUGCUCGUGGGCAGAGCAUGUGUAGGUGGGCAGGGGCUGUGUGUGUGGGCAAUGGGUCUGGACUCGGGGCUGCGGAGGAAGGCGUGGAGCCUGGGGAGACGGGAGAUGUUGUUCUCGGCCAAGCCAUGCGCUGGACAAAGGUGGAGUUUCCAUGCUUGGGGCCGUGGCUCGAAUGGGGCCAGCAGCAGUGGGCAGAGAGUGUGCUGGAGGGGUGCAGACCUGCAGGGGCAUCCUGGGAGGGCGUGGUCUGGCUCCAAGCAGGGUGGUUUGGGAGGACGUUCUCCUUUCCCGAGGUGCCUGUGACAGCGGCGUGGUCGGCAGAACCCCUGGAGCCCCCCUCUCCCACAGCCAUGCCGGGUGAUCCUGGGGACAGCCUCUCGCAGGCGCCGAUGGCCGGCUGUUCUCACGAGGAAGCAGGCCGAGGGUGGGCCGCGAGGUUAGGGUGGAGCCUGGCCUGUCCCCAAGGAAGCCUGGGCGUCACCACCGCUGUCCUUACUCCCAGGGUCCCGUGGUGGAGCGGCCCUGUCCUGGCGGGGGUGGGGGGGCCUGGGGUGCCUGCGCCUGCUGUGUGCACAGCAGUGAACAUCCGUGGGCGAUGGGCCAGGAACGUGGGGGUGGACCCGGCCACACGUCAGCACUUUGGAGAGUUUUUUUUAUCAAGCAAUUAAAAAGUGGAAACUUGCCAGUGUCAUGAUGAACUGAAGUGUGAAUCCUGGAACGCCUCUGCUGGGUUGUGGUUUGAGACGAGAGAGUGACGAUGCCAAGCCGUGCUUCCCCCAGCCCCUGGCCCCCCACCACAGCCUAUUGUGCGGACUUGGUCCAGAAGUCGGGGGCCCUGGGCCUGGCACCCCUGCCCAGCCGUCCCCCCACCCAUCCACGUGCUGCUCCUUCCUGGGGAUCCCUGCCCUCUCCGGGGCUCCGAUGAGGGUGCCUAGCACCUGAUGCGGGGCCCGUGGGCGGCCCUUGCUCUUUUCUGAGUGGUCCUGGCUCUCUUUGGGGGCCCCCAGCUCUGCCCCCGCAGGCUCAUCCAGCCCUCGACCCUGGCCCUUGGGAGAUGCUGCCUGUUCUGGGAAUAUUUGCUAGAGGCAGAGGCCAGGACUGGAGAGGCAACCCCGGCCGGCUUUGGGGUGGGGGGCACACAGGGGCACAUGGGCUCCCUUGAGUCGUCUGUGGGGACAGAGCUCAAGGUGAAGGUCCCGAAACCACACUCCUGCCCCCGUUCGGCCACCGCCCUCGGAAGCCCCGGCUCUGUGUGGGCAGCUGUGCGUGCCAGCCUUUCUGCACUUCCCCAAUUCCCGCUGUCCCCGCCCACAGCAGCAGCUGGACUGCCUCGCAACCCCACCCUGGGCAGCCCUAACAAGCCCUGGGGGGGCCUCUUAAACCCCGGCAAGUAUGGCCUUCUGGGGGUGCUGGCCUGGUCUCUGUUUUGCAGUGAGCUGACCCGAGGGCUCAACCAGUGCUGGCCAACAGCUCACUUGCCAGGCAGAGGUCCCGGGGCCACAGGGCUUUGCGGCAGCCACUGGGCCUCAGUUCUCACUGGGGGUCAGCAUAGUCCCUCGCUCUGGCCCUGGUGGACAGCCCCGGCGUGCGCUGGCAUAACCACAUGGGGGUGUGGCCGCGUGUGUAGAGCCAACAGUGAGCCCACCUGACCGUGCAUCCUUCGGCCCCUCGGUCCCUUUGGUGGGCCAGGCACUGGGCGUGGGGCACGGAGGGGGACCCAGGCCCAUGGGGAAUGCUGGGGCCACACGUGUGACACCCUGAUGCGCAAGGCUGGGCCACUGGCUUGGAGACUGCAGAGAGGGGGCUGGCGUUCUAGAAGUUCCCUCUCUCAAAGGUGUGGGGGCCUUUCGGAGAAGAAAUGGUUUCCAGCGGAGGAGAUUGCAGUCUGAGAAUGGGGCGCGGUGGUCCUUGGGACAGGCCCACAGCUGAGGGCCCAGGGCAGCGAGCAGGGGCCAGAACCCGCCCGCUCAGCCAGGGGCCAGCCUGACCUCUGCUCCGCGGUGGAGAUGGCUGGGCAGAGCCAAGGAGGGGCUGGCCGGGAGGUGGGCCCCGCAGGUCUGGGGAGUGUGGGCCAGGCCUGGCCUCUGAGCUGGUGCACGACGGGCAUGGGAGGUGGUGAGCCAGGCCCGCAGGAGGCCAUGGACGUCCAGGGAGGCCGCUCAGAUGUACCCCGUCUGGCCUCAUGCCGGGGGCCCUCAGAGAGCCAGCCUCACUCUGCAGGGCACGCCCUGGGCUUCUAGCCAACUGUGACUUACUUCAUGUAGGAAAGGACCUCGGCUUGUCCCCGUGUGAGAUAGUUUCUCAUGGCCACCCUAACGGACUGGGGGCUGAGAAACACAGAAAUGUGUUCUCAGGGUCCUGGAGGCCAGACUCCAAAGUCAAGGUGUCCGCAGCACCCCCUCCCUCGAGGGGCUCCAGGGCGAAUCCUUGCUUCCUUCUCUGUCUUCCAGCUUCCUGGGGGCUGCCUACGGGCCUGGGCUCCCUCGGUUUAUGGACACACCGCCCCAGCCUCUGCCUGCCCCUCCUCUGUCUUCUCCCUCUCUCUCCCUCGAAGGCACAGCAUGAGGGCUGACUCGCAUAUAUUGUGAGAGGAUUGCCACAGUAGAUCCAGCCAGCAUCUGUCUUCUUAUACCGCUACAAUGAAAAGAAACGGAAGAAACAAGCGUUUUCUUGUGAUGAGAACUCGCAGGAUGUGUUCUCUUUCCAGCUUUCCUGUGUAUCUCACGGCAGUGUUGGCAGGCCACCCUGCCGUCCAUCGCUUCCCUAGGGUUUAUUGAUCUUACGACCGGAAGUUGGAACCUUUUGGCCGCCCUCCUCCAGUCCCCUCUCUCUCCACUCUCUGCCUCUGGUGACACAAACCUGACUUCUUCCUUGAGUUCUUCCUCUCUCGUCUGUUAUAAGGACGCUUGCUGUUUCAUUUAGGGCCCGUCUGGCUGAACCAGGGUGAGAUCCUUAGUCACAUAUGCGAAGAUCCUUCUCCAGUUAAGGUCAAUCACAGUUCCCAGGGACUAAGACUCGGACAUAUGUCUCUGGAGGCCCCCAUUCAGCCCAUGACACGGGGUGACCCUGCCCCUACGCCACCCACGCCCUCUGCCCAGCUGGGUGGCACCCUGGCCCGAGUUCCCGGGACUCCUCGCAUCCCUGCACCGGAAGGCAGAUUACAGUGCCAGGCGGAGAGAAGAAUGGGCUCAGAGAGGAGGGGAAGGGCUCAGGGGCUGUGGUCCUGGAGGGUGGGGACCAAGUAGGUGGGCCCUAGGCUGGCUGUGGGUGGCCCCGAGCCCUUCGCAGGGACUGAUGCAAAGCGUCUUAUUUUGAGAGCUUGAGGUUUUCACCAGUGGAGGUGCCAGUCACACUGCCCUGGGCACAGGGCCCCCCCUGAGCCUGCAGGCUCUCCUUGGCACAAAGGUGGCAGGCGGGCACCAGGCUGGGCACAGGGGCCCUGGGAGACCGAGGUCGCCAGGGCUGUGGUUCCAGUCCCCACACCUCGGGCAGCGCCCUGCUCUGUCAGGCCCCUCAUCCCCGUGGUCAGCGCGGGUGAGUGGGCUGUGACCACCAGGGCGGGACAGGCUUCAAGGCCUGCGGCAGGGGUGGUGCUGUGUCGGCCUGUGCCUCGCUCCAGAGCAGGCUGAGGACCCUGGAGCCUGCAAGGCUCUCUUUCGCAGGCUGACGCCCAGCCCCUGCCCAGCAGCUGGCUAGUCCCACCCACCCUGGUAAGUGUCUGGCUCGGUGGGUGGUCCCCAAGCCUGGAAUUUAGAGGCAGCCACCCUGGGAGGCUGGGGGAAGAGCUGCAACUUGGGGAAGGUUGGGUGGGAACCAGAGCUUCCCAGAGUUGGGACCCCAGCCCCACCCAUCUUACUGCUUGGAUGAUGGUUAUUCCCAGUCUAGUGGGGCGGGGUGGGGGCGGUUCCUGCUACUGGAGGAGGGGCUCUGAACGCCCUGUUUCAGGAACAUGAAGUGAAAUGAAGUGAAAGUCGCUCAGUCGUGUCUGACUCUUUGCGAUCCCAUGGACCAUACAGUCCACGGAAUUCUCCAGGCCAGAAUAUUGGAGUUCUAGCCAUACCAGGGAUCUUCCCAACCCAGGGAUCGAACCCAGGUCUCCUGCAUUGCUGGCGGAUUCUUCAUCAGCUGAGCCACCAAAUGAAAGCAGCGUUAUUUGCUGCAAGGAUGAAUUGCUGCCUGGGGAGAUGGGACGUCACUGGGAGAAACUGGUAGAAACUGGGAGGCCUGGAGUGGGGAAAGAUGGGAGGUCACUGGGAGAAACCAGGAGGCCUGGAGUGGGGGCCUUGGGAAUCCUGGCCUUGGCUUCCGUGAGGCAAUAGGGUGGGGGAAGGGACCAGGGUGAUCUGACCUCCGUGGAGACCCCGCGGCUCCUGCAGGUGUGGUCCUCUGCCUGCUCCCACCUCUGCCUGCACAGGACAGAGGCUGGCUGGGGCCUGCUCCCCACUCUGGGCAGGCUGUGAGGAUGGACGGGAGGAGGCCCCCCUUGACCUCCCUGCCACCCUUUGCCCCUGGGCUGUGGUCAGCUGUCUGCCGUAGGCGCAGUCUGCCCACGGACCCUGGCGGGCACGGAGGCCGACGCUGGCAGGGGAGGCCAGGGUGCCCCCUGAGGAGAGUGACGACGCACAAACCCAAGUCCCCCAUCCAGGAGACGGCGGGGCGGGGCGGGGGUGUGUGUCUGAGGCCCGAGCCGGACACCCAGAUGUGUGUGCGACCAGGUGCUGGCAGGCCGGCUGUAGGUGCUUGCCCUGGGACAGCUGCUGGGCUGGACAGGACGAGCUUCUGCAGUGUCUGAGGACUCGCCGGUCCCCUCAGACCCUGCAGCCGCAUGGCCCCAAAGUGCUCCAUCCCCCAGCUGGUGCUGGGAGUGGGGGCGGGGAUGGACCUUGAGACUGG
ensembl:lncRNA